rnacentral:rRNA from 1 species
UACAGAGGGUGCAAGCGUUGUCCGGAAUUAUUGGGCGUAAAGAGCUCGUAGGCGGUUCGUCGCGUCGGCUGUGAAAACCUGAGGCUCAACCUCAGGCCUGCAGUCGAUACGGGCGGACUUGAGUACUGCAGGGGAGACUGGAAUUCCUGGUGUAGCGGUGAAAUGCGCAGAUAUCAGGAGGAACACCGGUGGCGAAGGCGGGUCUCUGGGCAGUAACUGACGCUGAGGAGCGAAAGCGUGGGGAGCGAACAGG